CUGGCAGGAAAAGUUCUUGAAGGAAAUUAAAAGUGCUGCUGCAGUGAACACAUGAAUGAAAAGAAAGCAAAACAGCCAUAUUGCUGAUAUAGAGAAAGUUUGAGUGGUCUGGAUAGAAGAUCAAACCAGUCACACAUUCCCCUAAGCCAAAGCCUAAUCCAGAGGAAGGCCCUAACUCUCCUGAAUUCUAUGAAGGCCAAGAGGGGUGAGAAAGCUAUGGAAGAAAAGUUGGGGCCGGGCGUGGUGGCUCAUGCCUGUCAUCCCAGCACUUUAGGAGGAUGAGAUGGGUGGAUCACCUGAGGUCAGGAGUUCGAAACCAGCCUGGCCAACAUGGUGAAACCCCAUCUCUACUGAAAAUACAAAAAUUAGCCAGGCAUGGUGGCCUGUGCCUGUAAUCCCAGCUACUCGGAAGGCUGAGACAGGAGAAUUGCUUGAACCUGGGAGGCAGAGGUUACAGAGAGCUGAGAAUGUGCCACUGCGCUCCAGCCUGGGCGACAGAGUGAGACUGUCUCACAGAAAAAAAAAAAAAAAAAUUACUGAUCAUUAACAAUGCACCUGGUCACCUAAGAGGUCUGAUGGAGAUGUACAAGAAGAUGAACGUUGUUUUCAUGCCUGAUAACACAAUAUUCAUUCUGCAGCCCAUGGAUCAAUAACUAAUUUCUACUUCAAGUCUUAUUAUUUGAAGAAAUGCAUUUUAGGCCGGGUACGGUGGCUCACGCCUAUAAUCUCAGCACUUUGGGGGGCCGAGAUGGGUGGAUCACUUGAGGUCAGAAGUUCGAUGCCAACAUGGGGAAACCCUGUAUCUACUAAAAAUACAAAAAAAUUAGCCGGUGUGGUGGCAUGUGCCUGUAAUCCCAGCUACUUGGGAGGCUGAGGCAGGAGAAUUGCUUAAACCCAGGAGGCAGAGGUUGCAGUGAGCCGAGAUCAUGCCACUGUACUCUAGCCUGGGCAACAGAACGAGACUGUCUCAAAAAUAAUAAUAAUAAGAAGAAGAAGAAUGUAUUUUGGCCAGGUGCAAUGGCUCAUGCCUGCAAUCCUAACACUUUAGGAGGCUAAAAUGGGUGGAUCACCUCAGGUCAGGAGUUUGAGACCAGACUGGCCAACAUAGUGAAACCCCAUCUCUAGUAAAAACACAAAAAUUAGCCAGGUGUGGUGGCAGGCUCCUGUAAUCCCAGCUACUGGGGAGGCUGAGGCAGGAGAAUCACUGGAAACUGGGGGGUAAAACUUGCAGUGAGCCAAGAUCAUGCCCCUUCACUCUAGCCUGGGUGAAAGAGCAAAACUCCGUCUCAAAAAAAAAAAAAGAAAUACAUUUUGCAGAUCACGAGAUCAGGAGCUCAAGACCAUCCUGGCUAACACAGUGAAACCCCGUCUCUACUAAAAAUACAAAAAUUAGCUGGGCAUGGUGGCAGGCGCCUGUAGUCCCAGCUACUCGGGAGGCUGAGGCAGGAGAAUGGGGUGAACCCGGGAGGUGGAGCUUGCAGUGAGCCGAGAUUGCACCACUGCACUCCAGCCUGGGCGACAGAGUGAGACUCCAUCUCAAAAAAAAAAAAAAAAAA
ensembl:lncRNA